UUGAGUGAUCACAGUUUUUGAGAAUCAUGAUGAGGCAUUAAAGAAGAGGAGGAGUGUCUCAAGGGAGGUGAGCUGGAGGUGAUGCAAGGAUGUCUGAUCUGAAAGCAUGUUGUGGUCCGCUACACACAAGAGCAAAAGAAGAGCAGGAAGGAGCUCAGUGCCAAGACCAUAGCCACAGGAAGAAAACCAGCUCUUAGGGCUGCAGCUCUAAAGACAGGCCAGGUCAUUACAGGAACGUCUGCUCCCUUAGCCUUGCCAGACAGAGGAGGGUUAAGAAAGGAACUGCUGACCCUGAUAUGCAAACUGCCACGAGUGCUUCCUGCCUUUCUAUCAGCAUCAGAUGGCUAGCGAUGGAUGGCUGUAAGAUUGAUGUAAUUAACAUUUUAUUUUCAGGGCCACAGUGCUGGUUGGGUGCACCAGACAAAUCAACCAACAGAUUAAAGAGUGAUGGAGAAAGCUGUGUUUUGGGCCUCAUUUGGGAACAGAAUGGAAGAGCUGAGGGUGGAAGGGACCUCAGCAAGUCUUCUGAUCCAUGUUUCAACCUUCAUUUCCCCGAUAACCUCAAGGAGAGAGUUGCUUUUCCUGUUCUUCAAAUGAGUUCCUUGAAUUCACACUCUAUUUCUUUGAAUUUGCACAGACUGUUGAGGAACAGGCGGCAGGGUCACUCUACCUCUGCUCAGACAAGCCUGGAAAAGAAAAAUUUUACAUAGAAGACUGAGCUGGAAGAGGCCUGGGAACUUGGGAAUUCCCACUUCCACACUGCCCACUCUAGUUCUCAAGAGGCGGCAGCUAUGCUGCAGUACAGACCACUGAAUUUAGAUUCAGGAAUCUGGGUUUAUAUCUCACUCCUCCUCUUACUUGCAAGUCACUUACCACACCAGGCCUCGGUUUCCUGGACAAUAAAAUGGGGAUAACGUUGCCCCAUGUGGUUGUUGGUGGUCAUGAAAUUAUGCACACGAGCACGCCUUGUAAUCUAGGUUAGACCUGCACUAACCUAGAUUAGCUGACCAGGGUGGAAGGUGGGAGGGGCAGGCUUCAGUGUGUGACUUACCUAGAGGCCAAGGGGAGUCACCAUGGAUAGGGCAGCACUUGUAAGUCCUCUGCUCUCUCAAUGUGGCUCUGAGAAUCUCCAGGAAGAACUGGCUGGUUGAAUUCUCAACUCUACCAAGAAAGGUGUGCUGGAGACCAGGGUCAUAGACGUCUCCUUGUUGAUGUACGAAAAUCAGGAAGCCGUCUCGGGUCCUCUUUACCAGGACAUAGUGUAAUUAUUCAUCUUCUUCCCUGUCAGUUGGCACUGGAAAAUUUUGCUUCUUCUAAAAGGAACAAAUAUCUCUAGCUCUUGUUGCUCCAACAAGGUGUCUGGCUUGAUUCCUAAAGUAAAUAAAUAAAUAAACAAAUA
rnacentral:lncRNA from 1 species